rnacentral:rRNA from 1 species
UACGUAGGUGGCAAGCGUUGUCCGGAAUUAUUGGGCGUAAAGCGCGCGCAGGUGGUUUCUUAAGUCUGAUGUGAAAGCCCACGGCUCAACCGUGGAGGGUCAUUGGAAACUGGGGAACUUGAGUGCAGGAGAGAAGAGUGGAAUUCCACGUGUAGCGGUGAAAUGCGUAGAGAUGUGGAGGAACACCAGUGGCGAAGGCGACUCUUGGCCUGUAACUGACACUGAGGCGCGAAAGCGUGGGGAGCAAACGGG